rnacentral:rRNA from 1 species
AUACGUAGGGGGCGAGCGUUGUCCGGAAUUAUUGGGCGUAAAGGGUACGUAGGCGGUUUUUUAAGUCUGGUGUGAAAUUGGUGGGCUCAACCCACCCAAGCAUUGGAAACUGGAAAACUUGAGUCAUGGAGAGGAAAGUGGAAUUCCUAGUGUAGCGGUGAAAUGCGUAGAUAUUAGGAGGAAUACCGGGGGCGAAGGCGACUUUCUGGAAAUGGACUGACGCUGAGGUACGAAAGCGUGGGGAGCAAACAGGAUGAGAUACCCUGGUAGUCCACGCCGUAAACGAUGAGUGCUAGGUGUUGGGGGUCAAACCUCGGUGCCGCAGUUAACACAUUAAGCACUCCGCCUGGGGAGUACGUUCGCAAGCAUGAAACUCAAAGGAAUUGACGGGG